ACCUGGUGUCUAUAUGAAGUGUAUUGUUGAAAAACACAGCUGCCGACAAUGAAAGAAGAAUAUAUUUUCUGCGAUAAUGGUUUUAUAUACCUGGGUUGUAAUAUAUGACGAUCAUAUAUUAACAUAACAUUUCAUGACAACCUACACAGGUAGACGGGCCACCAACGUGCACCAAGAAAGUUGUGAUGGCUGCCAACUUGAGCUGUAUAUUGAUUCUGUUCUCAGCUAAAGUAAAAAGGAAACCCAUCUAAUAUGGCAGGGGAACCACCUGUUGGGCACCCAUGUCAUCAGCUCAGCAAUCCAUCGGCACAAUUGUUCUGGUGCCGUCACUGUAUGACUGGUUUCCCUGAUCCAAUGCAGAGAUGGCGACAUAGCAAAGAAUGUAAAGCAAUAUCUACUCAGAAGAAGUAUGGCAGCUACAAUCAUUCGAACCAACAAAUUCAUCCAUUUUUAUCAAAGUAUGAAUCCCCUACGCCUUCCCCUCAGAGCGAGACUACAACUCCAAAUAAAAAGAAAAGGAUGGACUUAAAAUGUUACAUCUGUAAGAAAGAAUUUGUGACAAUCAACGAAAUGAGAGAUCACGUCAAACGGCCGUGUAACAAACCAGAAAUGAAAAAUGAGUUGAAGGAUACGUUUGAUUCAUUGAUUUCAGCCAAUGAGGAAGAUUCUGAUGAUAGUGUGUCACAAAAUGAGGACAAGGUCACAAACCAGAUCGAAACACUUUUAAAAGCAGCACAGAUAUUACAACAAAAGAAAGAUCAACUAAAACAAUUUAGUAAUUUGAAUGGUUCCACAGAGCAGAUAUCUGUGCCAGAGAAUCCUGACAUUGAGGACUCAUCUGACUUUAAGUCUCAGUAUACAAUGUUGGAUCUAGUAAAUAGAGCAAAAGUUGAAAGAAAUAAGAAUGGUUCUCAUAAGAAGCUAGAUGAAAAUUCAGAAAAUGCCAAUAGUAGUCAGGUGAUGAGCAAUGCAGAUAAGUUGGAUGAAGCCCUGAAAAUCUAUGAUUUUAUUUCUGAUACACCAGAACCUUCACCGCAUCCUCUGGAAACCAGUGCCUCAAAACCAGAAGAAUCUCCACUGCAUGUUGAGCAUUCACCAUGCCAACAGGUUCAGUCUCCGUGUGGUCAGGAGGUGUUAUCAUGUGAUCUAGAAACAUCCAUUGUCAAACCUGAUGCAUUGCCAUGUAAUCCAGAUCUUGAAACUGAUGGCAACCAAAUAUCGACAGAAUCUCUUAAUAAAACAUACAUUGUUUCAAGUCAUCAACCGCAGACAUCUGAUAGUAACAAAAUACCGAAAAUAACUUUGAAAUUAGUCACAGGAGAAAAACCUAAAUCUGAAGUGUGGGGAAUAGGAGCUGCUCUUCCCAAACGAAUUAGGAAAAGAAAAAGCAAAGACUUUUUUGACGAUUUUCCAACAAAAGUUAAAAAAAAGGAAAUGACUCUUAAAGAAAUGCAGGAUAAAUUGUUAAAAAACAAAGUGAAACAAAAGGUUGACAAUAGAAUAAAAUUAAAAAUAAACAAAAAGGAACAAUUAAUAACAGAUGUGAAAGAGGUAGAGACAGAAAAAGAAAGUCCACUGGAAGGUGAUAAUGCAAGUGAAAAUAAAAAAGAAGAAAAUAAUAACAAAGCAAAAAGGAAAAGUGAUUUAAAAACGAAGACAAAAGAGGCAAAAAAUGCUAAAACUUUAAAGACGAGAAAUGAUGGGAAGAAAAAUUUGGUUGUUCUUUUGACUGACUGCUUAUCAAAUGAGAAAAAUGCAUCCAAUUCUAAAAAGCAAACAAGGGCUGCAAAAAGUGUUAAAAAAGCUGUUAAUGGAAAACAGAAACCACUACUUAAGGCAAAAGUUCCUGAAAAACAGAAAAAUGGGAAAGUUGGUGCGAAAGAAAGAGCAGUAGUGAAUUCAAAUAAGGCAAAGGAAAAGAAAAGUAACAUUAGAGAAAGUAAUAAAACUGUUGACAAGAAAAUUGAAAAGUCUAAAUCAGCUGUGUUAAAUAGUUCAAAAACAAAACCACAAAGUAAACAAAAACCAGCCACAAAAACAAAAGUACCAGACAGUAAAAAGAAUACUGCUCAAAAAUUGAAAAACGAAAAGCCUGUAAAAUGUAAAGCUUGUGAAAGGACAUUCAAAACAAGGGAUAUGUUGAUCAAACAUAAUCAGAUUCCUUGUAGAAUGCGAAACACAAGAACAAUGACACAGAUAAUAUUACGACCGAAAAAAAGUGUAGUACACACCUUGCCUCUAACACAGAGACAGAUAAAUGCAGCUAAAAGACGGAAGCAGAUAGCUGGAAAAUUAAGUAUUUUGGACAAUUCAGCAAAGAAGGAAGGUACUGUACAGUCAGAAAGGCAAUCUGAAAAACAUGAGAAACCGAAGAAAUCAUCUAAAAGUCGGAAACGCCUAAUAUCACCUUACUUUACAUUUUGUAUUACUCCAAAAGAUAAAAGUCAAGUAUUUGAACCCUUAGAUUGUGAAACGUUGUCAGAAAAGGAUAAAUAUUUUUAUAAAUUGGGAAUGUUUUCUGUUUCGCUAAGAAAAGCAAAUGAGGAAAAAGUUGAAAACACUGAAAUUGACAAAGCAGUAGUGAGUGAAGAAAUUAAACCAUGUGAGAUAACAAUUGAUUCUAAUACGGAUGUUCAAUCUCUCCCAUCGAUUACUUCUACAAGGUCAGAAAUAUCGCCACCGAUUCUUGAAAAAGUGUCAGAAAUUUCUAAAAAUAGUGAUGUGCAAAAUGAAAGUAAUUCAGCAAAAGUAAUCAUAAGUCAGGAUGGUCUGGAUCCUCCUGACUUAGUAAAUAUUCUUGGUGCUACGGAUGUAAAAAGGAAUGGCCGUGACAAUGUGGAGACAUCUUUGUCAUGUCAAGACCAGUUGAUAAGGACUAGUUCUCCAAGUGUCACACCACCUGUAUCAAAUAUUUUAUCAGUUACCUCACCUUACAAUGGACAGCCUUGUCAAACACCACCACCAGAUGGUGCUGGAGGACUUUUAGUUGAAAUUGUAAAAUCACCGACAAUCACAAAUGGUGCUUAUUCUAGUAUUGCUCCUAUUAAUUCUAGUCAGGAAGAAAAAGGUUGUAAGAAAAUAACGGAAAUUGAAAAUGAUAAGGAAAACAGGGGAGAUAAUAUUGUAAUGCCUGUCAUAAUAAAAAGGGAUGUUGGUGUAUCAUGUGAUGGGGAUGACAUUUUGAAAGAGAUGGAGAACUGUAAAUACUUUGAUGGUUUCAGUGUUGGUUUGAAGUUGAUAAAACCGAGGGAAAAAUCACUAUUGGAAAGAGUAAGUAAGGAUGCUGAGAUAAGUUCACAAACUAGAUCGUCACAUUGUGUUGCUGAUACAAAAUCUGGUACAAACAGGAAGUUAACUUAUACAGUAACUCUUGGCAUUCAGACUGAAAGAAGUUUUUUGAAAACGAAAUCAAAACCUUUGAAAACUACAGAAAAAGAUAGCUCUAAGUCUAAAGAAUCUCUAUGUGUGGCAAACGAUAAUGCCAAGUGUAAGGAGAACUUAAUUCCAGAAAAAGAAAAAAUGAAAAACAAAGAAUUGUCGUCUUUAGAGAAGAGCAACGCUAAAAGUAAAGAAUCACUGACAUAUGACAAAGUGAAUAGGAACAAAAGUAAUCACAACUUAUCAGGUCUUAAAAGUACUGAAAAUUUGAAGGAAAAACAGGAGGAGAGAAAUCUUUUUCAUUCUAUUGCAGAUCUUAUAUCUGCACCAGUUGAAAAGAAAGGGUUAAGUGCACAGGACGCUCUUUUCGAUUCUAUUCUCCCAUCACCCAAGGUCACAUUUGAUGAUAUAUUAGAAAUAGGAAACGCAAACAAAGAAAAGCAUAAUUAUGAGAAAACUGAAGAUAUGUCAGAUAGGCAAAGCAUUACGGAAGUGGAAAUCGUCUUACCAAAAGGUUCAAAAAUUGCUCAACUCUGUACUGAUAUUGAUUGGCUGGAAUCUGCCGAUCUUCGUCCAGUGAAAUCUGCUCCUAUUCAACAAAAAGAUAAUGUCAACAGAAUAGACAGUGGUAUAUCAGGAUCAUCCUUUUCAAGGAAAGAUUUUAGUUUUGAUAUUGGACAAAAAGUUACAAGUAGCUCAGUAACGGAUUUAUCAUUUAUGAAUAAGGCCAUUCCUAACUUUUGUGAGAGUAAGCAUGUAUGUGAUAUAUUUGUUAGUUCUACUCCAAGCAUUGUUUUUAGUGAAAGUCAGAAAUCUCUUAAAGAUAGGUCAAAACCUGAGGAGGUUUAUGUUUAUCCAAAUAAACCAAUUAUGUCUACUGAAAUUGAUUCAGUGUCAGUCAAAAGGGCUCAGCCUUCUAAAGUUGAUGAAGAACUAAACAAGAAUAGCUCGAACAACUUGUUAGAAUUAAUAGCUAAGACAAUGGGUACUAUUCCUGAAGAAGCUAAACAAAAAUUUGAAAAGUCAGUUAUGUCUUUACUUACCAAUGCUACUUCACCUAUGGACACAAUGGCAGGAGGGGCAUCUGCUAAGUCAAAAAGGUCAAAGGAAGGUCAGGUUAUUAUUAUGAAUAAUACAGCCGAUUCUGGUCAGUUUUCUUCUGAUAUAACAGUUGUAAAUGAUGAACCUAUGAGCAUGAUGAGCAAUGACCAUAUAGCAAGAAGGAUUUGUAACGACCGUGUGAUUAGGCCUUCAAAUUUCUGUACUGUUUCGAAGUUAGAUAAUGAAUCAGAGAAUAAAUCAGUAAGGGAUUCUUCAUCACAACAGUCAAACUUUUUAGAUUUUAAACAAAGUAAAGAGAACAAUUUCUCAAAUAAAACUGUCACACACUCUUGGAUAGAUGAAAUAAACAAAAAAAGUGAAACAUGCAUUCCAAAAAUUGACUCAUCCGAACAGUUUUUCCUAUUUUGCAGUUCAGCUAAUAAAUUAGAUGAUACCAAAACAGAAACAAGUUCAAGGUCAAUGAUAAACUUUACGGAAACCAACAAUACUUUUAAACCUUUUUCUGGAUUUAAUGACAGCAAAAGUAUUUGCAAGCAAUCUCGGACACCAAUUUCUCAAAACAGCAAAAUGACCUGUAAGCCAACUCCGACAUCUGUAUCUGAAAACAGCAGGAACAAUCUAUUACUGACACCACCAAGUUGCUAUAGUGGUUCAAAUUUUCAUGUCAAAUCUGAUUCUUUAGCCAGUAGACGAAGGUCACCUCGACCUCCAAACAUCAUAACAAAUAAUCAGGUUCAAAUGGAUGCUUUAAACAAUGGAAACAAAGAUGAUACAAGUGAUCCGGAAUCUCCUACAUUAGUAACAAACUUUGACUUUGAAGAUUAUGCAGAGCAUCUGAAAGAAGAAACAUUUUUUACUACAGAUUCAUUAUCUCCGAUUCGGCCAGUUUCUAUAAUACCUCCAAGUGAGCAACCUUUAUCAGAUAUUCUUUAUAGGAAAUCACCUGGACCAUUUAAUUAUUCAAAGAAAGGAAAUGCUGCAGUGAUUACACAUAAUGUAGCUCCACUUAAUUUAAUUCAUUCACCUAAUAAUGCUAAAACUGUCCAGAAGUCAGAAUCAUUUCUGAAGCCUUUAGCUAUUGAUUGCAACCAGAGCAAAGAGGAUGAAAGUUAUAUUUGUGAUAUAUCUCCACCUCUUGAAGGACCUACACAGAAUAUUUCACCCAUUGAUUUGGCCAAAGUGGCUUCUGCAAAAAUGACCAACGAACUGAUUUUAAAAAGUCAAGGAUUUGGGCAUGGUUUAUUACAGCUUUCUAAUAGGACUAUGCCUUCACCUAAUAUAACAUUACUACAACAGAAAAGUCCUCAGAUAUAUGUCUCACCUUCAAACUUCAGUCCAUUAGGAAAUGUUGACCAGCAAAAGAGCAUACAGGAAUACCCUCCUAUUGUUCAGCGAGGCAAUUCUCAAGAUAGUUCCAUCCUAUCUAACCAUCAUACUCAUUUUGAUACUAGUUUCACUCCUGUACAGUUAAUUGAUGUACAUUUAAACACAUACAAACCAAGUUCUAUUCCUUCCCCUAAAGUCUUUUCUCAAAAUAGACAACAGACUGCUGCUCAGUCACCUGAUGCUGAAGGAUGGGACAAAAGACAAAAUGUGAUUGUUUCUCCAUCCUUCAAUCAGAAUAGACCUAAAAAUACUGAAAAUGGACAGGAUUUUAGUAAGCAGAAGCAACGCCAUAAUGUUAACAUUUUAAGAAAUUACAAUAAACCGCAAGAAAGACGACAAAGUCUAACAGGAAAAACUAAUUUUUUUAAUUCAAAUCAACAACAGUCUUUAGCAAUGCCACCAGAAUGUGCUGUAUCUGAGAAAACUCGUAAUGUGAUUACAAAAUCAAACAAUUAUAUAACUUCUUCAACAGAACCUCAGGAUGCUAUAUUAGAUAUGAUUGAUAAAUCAAAUAAAUUUCAGAAUCAUUUUGUGCCUAAUAAGAAUGAUAAAGUUCAAAUGAAUUCAAAUGCAAUGGAUAAAAUUCAAGAGCAGUUUUCUGCAAGUAGAAAAAAUGUUCAAGAUUCUUGUGUUCAAAAUAGGAUGGAAAAAUUGCAGGAUCAUUUUAUUCCGAGUAAAAUGAAUAAAAUUCAGGAGCAUUUGAUGUCUCAUAAAAGUGAUAAAGUUCAGGAUCACUUUUUGAACAAAAAUAAGGAUCAAAUUCAAGAUCAUUUAACAUCCAGCCCAACGUCAAAUGUAAGUCCCAGUUUUCAGUAUCAACGAAAGCAUCCAAAAAUGGCUGCACAUCACAGGCAAUCACACAUGAAAAAUUCUGACAACUCAUCUGUAGAGGGUCCUAAAUCUAGUUCAAAAGUGGAUCCCUAUUCAAGAUUACAUCAUGUACCACAGCAUGAGACCUUAUCUCAUGGUCAAAGGAAAUAUCAUGACCAUUCUCAUGGAAAAUCGAAAUUUCAAAAUGCAUCAAGAAUACCUCAUCAAGAAAUGUCAACACAUUCUUUGCUCCAAAAUGAACAAAUCGUCAGCAAAGGAAGAAGUGAUAAAUUUCAACAAGUAUUACAACAAUCAGAACCUUUGUCCUUAAGCACUAGAUUGCGGACUGAACAUGCACAUCAUCAGUCAAGCUUGUCAAAUAUGCAUAGAAGUCAGUCGUUUGAUCAGUCGCAUGUAAAAAGUCACCUAGGCUAUCAAAACGCUCCUCCUUGUUCAGAAAAGUCUGCCAUUUGUUCACCUAUACCUAGUUCAUCAGGAAACUAUGUUGCCUCUUCUAAAGGAAGCGUGUUUGACUUCCAAAAUUCAAUACAUUCUGUUAGACAGAUUAGUAACCAAGGACUUUUGUCAAGUUCAAAUCAGGGUUUAGAAUAUACAGGUCCAAUGAAUAGGGAUAGAUUCAGUAGUUCACAAGUACAUCGUCAAAUGAGUGCUCCCUGUAAUUUAACAAACAAACCCAAAGUCUCGUCAAAUGUUGUGCCUAACACAGACUAUGAAGAUGUGUCCUCCCCGGAGGAAGUUGAAGUUUAUCCAACCACGCCUCAGAAAAAGGAAUUACCUCAGAAAUUACUGCCUCCUUAUCAACUAGAAAAUGAAACAAUAUCAAUACAUUCUGGUGACAAAGGUCAAAGUUCAAGAGUAAAUAUUCCUGAUAAUUUUGACUUUAAAUCUAGUCUUAAUCCUAGAGUGCAAUAUGUAGGACAAAGAAAUGUUGUUGAUUCAGGGAACAGGGUGUUUCAUGAACAAAGGCGACUGCCACCAAACUUUUAUCUUCCUCAACGGCUUGUUCAUAAACCAAGUGAUGUGUUUGACCCAUCUGUGCAGUUUGAAUUUGGUACAACAGGGGAUAUAUCAGAUUCAAUUUUAGACAACAUUUGAUAAUAUAUUUACAUAGAAUGAAAAUAGUUUGUGUAUUAAUACACUAAUCUUGAGUUCAGCAAUUUUUCCCAGUUGACCCAAUGACAUUUGUAAAACAAUCCCUUUUCGUUGACUUCAUCAAACAUUUUCUGUUUCGACGCUGAAGAAUAACAGAAAAACGUAAUAUUUUUUUAAAUGGCAGACUUACUUGGGAUUGGUGUAUAAAUACAUUUUCCUAAGUCCUGUUUAUGAAAAAAAUUUCUCCUCAUGCCUUCAUGCUUGUUAGAAAUAUGACGGUUUAUUGAUAUGGUCAUAUUUAUAAAUUAACUGUUUACAAAACUUUAGAAUUUUUGAAAUACUAAGGCUUUUCUACCUCAGGAAUAGAUUACCUUAGCUGUAUUUGGCAAAACUUUUAGGAAUUUUGGUCCUCAAUGCUCUUCAACUUCGUGCUUUAUUUGGCCUUUUUAACUUGUUUCGAUUUGAGCGUCACUGAUGAGUCUUUUGUAGAUGAAACACGCGUCUGGCGUAAAUACAAAAUUUAAUCCUGGUAUCUAUGAUGAGUUUAUUUUUAUAUUUGAACAAAAAACACAUAAGGCUUCAAUUACAAUAAUUAUUAUUAUACAUACAGCAUUUUAGACCAAUUUACAUCAUCUAAGUUUAAGCUGUGUCGUUUUUUUAUUUCAUUUUUAGCAGGAAAUUAAUUGUAAAAUCAGAAUCUGGAAUGAUCCAAAAAUACUUUUUUCUUCUUUUAUAAAUUUUAUUAUUGAGGAUAGACUGAUAAAUUUUUCCAAAAUUUAUAAAAUUUACAAAUUAUGAAGGCCCUGAAGACUGUUCUAUUUUGCAGCCAAAAUAUUUUUGUAAAAGUUAUAAUUGAACCUCAACUAAUUUUCUACUUUUACUAUACAUGCUAUAUAUAUAAAUGGCAAUCUAGUUUUCAGGCAAUAUUUUUUUGUAAUACCUUUUCUCAGAGUAAACCUAUUAUAAUAAAUGGAAGGUUCUUAUGUAUGAAGUGUAUGUAAAUUUGUAAGAGAUGACAUUUUCAUGAUAAUUUUUUGGUUGUAUUUUAACAUAGUGCUAUAUUUUUGUGCAUUGUUGUUUUUACAGUGCUUUGACAAAAUUUUUUAAAUUUUAAAAUUUUGUUGUUAAGUUUUGAGUAGUUUAUAUGUGCCAGUAUCCCAUCAAUUGAUGUCUCGUAUUCAAAUCUCACAUUUUUAGAGAAGUUGAAAUGUUGUGUUUCAGAAUUGUUUAUUUAACAUAAUUAUAGUUUUUUUUUUGGUGUUUUUGUACAUAGUUUGUAUAUAUUUGAUGUAUACAAUAUCAACACUAAUUUUAUGUAUAAAUGUAGUGAGUGAUUUGAAAUGAUUUAAGAUAUUAUUUGAAGUUAAAAAUACAUUUUGCAAGGACCUUCUACAGUUAAAGUCAAAACGGGUGUAACAUUUCACAGUAAUUCAUUUAGAGAUACCAAUGGGCAAUCAAAAACCUUAAGUCGCUUAAAGACAGACAGCAGGGUGGAUUCAGGGUUUACGGAAAGAGGGGUUCAAAUGCCCGUAAUGGUAAAAAUGAUGGCAAGGUGAAUUUGUUUGAAAUUUUAUAUGAUAUACCGGUAAUGAUGUUUUUUUUUCAAUCAAAGGGCUGACACACUCUAUGCUGUAAAGUAGCUGUUGUCAAAUUUGAGUUGAGAUGCUAAGAUGUUUUCAACUUUUCCCUGGAAUAAACCUGACUGUAAUUUACACAUUAAAAACAUCAGAGAACCUGAAGGAGAGUUGAUAGCCAAUGAGACAACUAUCCACCAAAGAUUUGAUAUGAUAGCCAAUGAGACAACUAUCCACCAAAGAUUUGCGUUUUGAAACUUUGUGGUAUAUUCUGUGUGAAUUGAUAUUUAUAUUUAUCUUACCUCCUAUACAUUUCUAGGAAUAUCAUUGGUUAAAAGUGAAUAUGUGGAGACCCUGUAUAUAUGAUAUUAGGUUAGUGGGCCUGUUUGAUUUGAAUACACAGUUAGUAGCAUUAUUAUGUCUCUUUAUAAAAACAACAUGACGUUAAAAAAAAAUCUGAAACAUUUCGCGCAAACAACAGAUGAAAAAAUUGAUGAUAAAUGAAUGAAAAUGAAUGCAGAAAAAACAUUAAACGCAAACAAAUUGUUAUUGUUGGUAUUUGGUUUUGUAGAGACCAAUGACAUUAGAUUCUUAAUAUUGAAGACUUGAUCACUUUAAUAGGCCACUAGUCUGAAUUCCAGACGUUAAGAUAGUAAGAUAAAUUCUUUACACAGUGUGCUUGUGACCUAAAAUGAUAUAUAGGUGUCAGUAAAUUUCAUAUCAGGUUUGAGCUUCGCUCUCACCCCAUAGGAAAUUUAAUGACCCUGUAUAUAUCGUAUUAGGUCACUAGCACACUGUGUAACUGAUAAUACAUGUAUCUUGAUAUGGGUAUUAUAUUUUUAUGUACAGCUAUUUCUUAGUCCAAUUUCAGUUUCCUCUGUUAUGCAGAAACUUGAAAGAUGCUUAUAGCCAAUGGAAGCAAAUCUCUAUUAGUUUGACCUUGUUCUCAUGGUUUCAAAGGUUGCAUUUCUUAGGGACAAUUAUACUGAAGAAUUUAAUAAUGGCAAAAACCCUUAUGUCUGAGUAAUUGAUAUCACCAUGUGUAUGCUUAAAUCAAAUUAGCUCCAUGCCUACAGCUUCCCAUUUAAGCAGAAUACAUUGUAUGGAACCUUCCAGUGUUACUAAAAGAUGUUAAACAACUUUGAAUAGUAACUCAAAGAGAAGAGGUUGUAUUCCCACCAUUGAUAAAACAAAAUCAUUUUUUGGUAUAAAAUCUUCAAAAUAAGAUUAGCCUCUCUACACCUUACACUAUUUCUUCCAUAGAGGACAAUCAUGCACACCUUUUCCUAGAACCCUUUAUGGUAUAUGGAUAUUUUUAUACGACCGCAAAAAAAAUUUUGUGGUCGUAUAUUGGUAUGACGUUGGCGUCGUCGUCGUCCGGCGUCGUCCGAAGACACAUUGGUUUUCGCACUCUAACUUUAGUUUAAGUGAAUGGAUCUCCAUGAAAUUUUACCACAAGGUUCAAUACCACAAAAGGAAGGUUGGGAUUGAUUUUGGGGGUUAUGGUACCAACAGUAAAGGAAUUAGGGGCCAAAAAGGGGCCAAAAAUUAGCAUUUUUGUUACUUCCAGACAUAACUUGUGUGUUAGUGUAUGGAUCUCUCUGACAUUGUACCACAAGGUUCCAUAUCACAAAAGGAAUGCUGGGAUUGAUUUUGGGGGUAAUUGCCUCAAAAUAUUAGGAAUUAGGGGCCAAAAAAGGGGCAAAAAAACAAGCAUUUUUCUAGUUUCAUGACAAUAACUUGUGUGUAAGUGCAUGGAUCUUUCUGAAAUUGUACUACAAGGUUCCAUAUCACAAAGGGAAAGCUGGAAUUGAGUUUGGGGGUAAUUGCCCUAAACGUUUAGGAAUUUGGGGCCAAAAAGGGGCCAAAAAACAAGCAUUUUUCUAGUUUCCAGACAAUAACUUGUGUUCAAGUGUAUGAAUCUCUCUGAAAUUGUACUGCAAGGUACCAUACCACAAAGGGAAAGCUGGGAUUGAGUUUGGGGGCGAUGAAUCAUAAGGGGGUUCAAAAAAUUGGGGGGGGAUUUUUUUUUUCCUUUUUUUUCUUUAACAUUUUCCAUUUUAAAUUGGUUAUUUCUGAUUUAUAUAUAAAAGCAAAUAAUAAUGAUAUGGUUUGAAUAGGCAUACAUGUGAACCUCCCGACGGGAGUACAAUAAUCCCGUUUUCAGGGGUCUCCUCCCCCCUCCCGUUGAAAAAAUCCCGUGUAUGAAAUUUUUCAUGAAUGAAAAAUUUCUGCCCAACAUAACAUCUCAGGCAUCUGGUGUAACUGACAUUACCUGAAGUUAUAUUUUACCUGUAAAUCAAUUAACAUGCAUAAUUAUAUGGCUUCACUUGUCAGCUUGGGUGUCAAACAUACUGGUAAGAAACGAUUUUUACCUCAGGCUAAC